UGGGGCAUAUCUUUCCGAGCUUGCUCAGAGAACACACUCUUCGGUGCCGCUCUGUGCCUGCGAGGUUUCGUUUUCGUCUUCGUCCAUUUGACGUGGUCAGCUCUGGUUCACACCGCGUGCAACGUGCAACUGGAUAGUUAUAGCUCUCCUUCUCCUCGUUCACUGACGUCACGUGCAAUUUUGGACUAUGACCAUGAAGGUGCAGACCGAGCAGCAGCAAGUGAUCAGCCUCGCCAAGGUGGCCAAAGGGCGCGUGAGCCGCGAGGAACGCGACGUCAACCACGGCGCGAUCCAAGCGCUGCUCGACAAGCUCAAAGAUCUGGUGCCCAACAUGCCCCGUAGCAAGAAGGUCUCGAAGCUCGAGAUCAUCCAGAACGUGAUCGACUACAUCCUCGACCUGGAGCUCGCCCUCGAAGCGCAUCCCUCCAAGCGAUCGUCGUCGACCUCCACGGCGUCGACUCCUGCGCGCCAGCCUCUGGGCGUACUCCCUCCCGCCAACAAUGCGGUCACCAACGCUCUCUCGGAAGAUGAGGAGACCCACGCGGAAAAGGUCAUUCGCCACUUCGCAGCGCUCGCGCCCACCGUCUCGAGCAUGGACCUUUGAGACGCCAGAGCGAGCGUCUCUCAAUACAUGACAUCGCUCGGGGCCUGGUUCAGCGGUCCGGAAUGAACGACCGACUGGUCCUGGGCCGCGUCUGACGACCGGCAAAUUCAGUGCCAUCCACGUGCCGUCAAGACACUGAACGUCAUCAAGUGCAAGCAUCGGAUGAACUCUUGAGGAAUAUGUGGUCCAGGAACGACCGGAAAAGUGCGGGAGCCUGCAAGACUUGGAAACAACCUCCAUAAGCCCUGGCUCGGCGUCUCUCCACAGAGUUGCCUUUAGCUCUCAGCUUUUACUGUGAUCACUCGAAGCUGGCUGUCUAACAAAUCCACAAGGACUCCUGGCAAGCGCACGGAAACGGCCUCCCCUUCAGUCGGCAUGGAUCAUCUCUGGCAUCGAGUGUAUCGGCGCCAGAUUUUCGUCUCGUCUGAGCCGGCUAUGCAUCGCUAUCCUUGCUCAUCCAGCGGAUAUCAUUGAAGGAAUGUCAGCAGGCACCUUUCAAUGACCAACCAUGGGACUUCUCGGAGCAGAAAUCGCCAGAAGUGAGUUACGACCACAGUCAACAAAAUUACUCGGAAAAGAUCCCGGAAUUGUGGACAGCUGCUGGACAUGACAAGAGCGCGGCAGCAAGAACAGCAAUAAUAUUGUACUACAGAUGGCAAAUCCUGCUCGAAUAAAACAAUUGAAA
rnacentral:misc_RNA from 1 species